GCUGGGCAGGGUGGCACAUGCCUGUAAUUCCAGCAGCUCAGGAGGCUGAGGCAGGAGGAUUUCAUGUCCAAACCCAGCCUCAGCAACAACUAGGUGCUAAGCAAAUCAGUGAGACCCUGUCUCUA
rnacentral:sRNA from 1 species